rnacentral:rRNA from 1 species
GACGAACGCGGGCGGCGUGCUUAACACAUGCAAGUCGAACGGGUCUGCCUUGUUUUUUGCGGGGUGGGUUAGUGGCGAACGGGUGAGUAACACGUGAGUAACCUGCCCCUCACUUCUGGAUAACCGCUUGAAAGGGUGGCUAAUACGGGGUGUUCUGGCUGUGCCGCAUGGUGUGGCUGGGAAAGAUUCACUUUUGUGGUGUUUUGGUGGGGGAUGGGCUCGCGGCCUAUCAGCUUGUUGGUGGGGUGAUGGCCUGCCAAGGCUUUGACGGGUAGCCGGCCUGAGAGGGUGAUCGGCCACAAGGGGACUGAGACACGGCCCUUACUCCUACGGGAGGCAGCAGUGGGGAAUAUUGGACAAUGGACCAAGAGUCUGAUCCAGCAAUUCUGUGUGCACGAUGAAGUUUUUCGGAAUGUAAAGUGCUUUCAGUUGGGAAGAAAAAAAUGACGGUACCAACAGAAGAAGUGACGGCUAAAUACGUGCCAGCAGCCGCGGUAAUACGUAUGUCACAAGCGUUAUCCGGAUUUAUUGGGCGUAAAGCGCGUCUAGGUGGUUAUGUAAGUCUGAUGUGAAAAUGCAGGGCUCAACUCUGUAUUGCGUUGGAAACUGUGUAACUAGAGUACUGGAGAGGUAAGCGGAACUACAAGUGUAGAGGUGAAAUUCGUAGAUAUUUGUAGGAAUGCCGAUGGGGAAGCCAGCUUACUGGACAGAUACUGACGCUGAAGCGCGAAAGCGUGGGUAGCAAACAGG